GACGAACGCUGGCGGCGUGCUUAACACAUGCAAGUCGAACGGAAAGGCCCUGCUUUUGUGGGGUGCUCGAGUGGCGAACGGGUGAGUAACACGUGAGUAACCUGCCCUUGACUUUGGGAUAACUUCAGGAAACUGGGGCUAAUACCGGAUAGGAGCUCCUGCUGCAUGGUGGGGGUUGGAAAGUUUCGGCGGUUGGGGAUGGACUCGCGGCUUAUCAGCUUGUUGGUGGGGUAGUGGCUUACCAAGGCUUUGACGGGUAGCCGGCCUGAGAGGGUGACCGGCCACAUUGGGACUGAGAUACGGCCCAGACUCCUACGGGAGGCAGCAGUGGGGAAUAUUGCACAAUGGGCGGAAGCCUGAUGCAGCAACGCCGCGUGCGGGAUGACGGCCUUCGGGUUGGAAACCGAUUUCGCCUGUGACGAAGCGUGAGUGACGGUAAUGGGUAAAGAAGCACCGGCUAACUACGU
rnacentral:rRNA from 1 species